CAGCCUCUCUGCCCUAGUCUGGGAUCAGGAAUUCUUUUAAUGCUUCUGCUGUGUCUUUAUUUCCUAUCUCAUUCAUGCUCUACCUCCUGUCUGCAUUGAGCUGUAGUGCUGAUGGUCUCCAGUUGGAUGCACCAAUGUGUCUUUGUGGUGGGAUAACCAUAGUUGCAGCCCCCUGCUCCUAGGGAGACGUGCACCCCCCUGGCUUUCACCCCGCCCUUGCACCGUUCCAUUGCUCUGACAGCAGCUGGAUCCAGCAGAUAUUUCUCAGCUGACGGCAGCCUCCAUCAACUGGAUAAAACAAGCCACCAGCGAGCAGCUUCUCGUGACUGUGCACAGAGCCCUUGCCAGAAGAACGGGG
ensembl:lncRNA